UACGUAGGGGGCAAGCGUUGUCCGGAAUCAUUGGGCGUAAAGCGCGUGUAGGCGGUCCGGUAAGUCCGCUGUGAAAGUCCAGGGCUCAACCCUGGGAUGCCGGUGGAUACUGUCGGGCUCGAGUCCGGAAGAGGAGUGUGGAAUUCCUGGUGUAGCGGUGAAAUGCGCAGAUAUCAGGAGGAACACCAAUGGCGAAGGCAGCUCGCUGGGACGUGACCGACGCUGAGACGCGAAAGCGUGGGGAGCAAACAGG
rnacentral:rRNA from 1 species